CCGCCGCAAAGGAGGCAGAUCCCUUUCUGAUUUGUCAGAUGAAGAAACUGAGGCACAGGGAGGAAAAGCAACUUGCCAAGAGUCUCCCAGGAGUGUCCCAGGAGUGCAGGAGCCAGGCCCAGCACUCCCCAGCCAGUGCUGUCAUCUCUGUUCUGUUCACUCCUCCUAUCCUGGCCACGAACCUACACUCCUAGGUCCUCCCCAACGCCGGCUCCUGCCCCACCCUCACUCCACCCCACGCUCCACCCUGACCUCUCCAAGGGACCUAUAGGUUGGAAAUCCUCCAAUUCCCAGCCCUCCUCUGGCCACUUGAGCUGCAUAUGCAGGUUGCCAGAAGGUUCUUGUUACAGGCCUUUGACCUGGAGGUCCCCUUGACCCACCUGGCUGAGGAUAGGUGUGUGGAGCUUCCCAGGCACACGCUCCAACCUUUGGAGGAGUCAGCCAGCCUAUACAACGCCUUCGUGUGAAUUAGAAAAGGCUCCUCCUCUGGGCAGACACAGCCCAUACCAGGGCUUGACCAGUGGGCCUAGGGUGGGUUUCAGGUCCCACUUGACCCAGCCCCCACCAGGUGCCUUUGAGCAGUGCACACACUGGACAACCUUCUCCAACAGGCCUGCCUGCCUCUGUCUUCCUGGAGGCCAGCCAAGCCCCCAAAAGUGUUCCAAGAGAGUAGAACUUUCAUGAAAACUAAAUGAGUCUCCCCACCUUUGUCCUCACCCCCGACCUCAGCCCCCUCUCCCCAGUGUAUAUUAUGAAAGGAAGAAGACAGACAGGAACUGAAUUGCCCAUGGGGACCACAGCAGCCCUUUCCUGGAGGGAGCAGGGGGCUUGGGGACCCAGCACCUAGGGGGCUAAGAAGCGCACCACGGGAGGUGGAUACAGAAACAGCUAAAGCCAGAGGGCAGCGCCAAGCCAGACUCCAGUUGGCUGACCCCGAGGCCCAGCCCUGCCCCCUGCACAUGGGGAUGCUUUUGUCCCACUAGGGCUCGUGCCUUAGUGACUGUCACCUGUUGGAGGAGAGAGGCCUCAUUCUGGAGAAUGGAGAAGGAAGAUGGGCAGGAGGAGGGUUGCUCCACCUGCUGGGGGAUGCAGUGACACCCUCUGGCAAUUCUCUGGGUGCUCCAUGACCAGCCACUGAGGACGAUG
rnacentral:lncRNA from 10 species